GUGAGGCGACUGCGGGCAGGUAAGAG
rnacentral:piRNA from 1 species